GGAAUUGCCUUAGUAGCGGCGAGUGAAGCGGCAAAAGCUCAAAUUUGAAAUCUGGCACCUUCGGUGUCCGAGUUGUAAUUUGAAGAUUGUAACCUUGGGGUUGGCUCUUGUCUAUGUUUCUUGGAACAGGACGUCACAGAGGGUGAGAAUCCCGUGCGAUGAGAUGCCCAAUCCUAUGUAAGGUGCUUUCGAAGAGUCGAGUUGUUUGGGAAUGCAGCUCUAAGUGGGUGGUAAAUUCCAUCUAAAGCUAAAUAUUGGCGAGAGACCGAUAGCGAACAAGUACAGUGAUGGAAAGAUGAAAAGAACUUUGAAAAGAGAGUGAAAAAGUACGUGAAAUUGUUGAAAGGGAAGGGUUUGAGAUCAGACUCGAUAUUUUGUGAGCCUUGCCUUCGUGGCGGGGUGACCCGCAGCUUAUCGGGCCAGCAUCGGUUUGGGCGGUAGGAUAAUGGCGUAGGAAUGUGACUUUGCUUCGGUGAAGUGUUAUAGCCUGCGUUGAUGCUGCCUGCCUAGACCGAGGACUGCGAUUUUAUCAAGGAUGCUGGCAUAAUGAUCCC
rnacentral:rRNA from 1 species